AAACCGGCCCGCUUGGCUCUCCUCCGCGGCCUGCUCCCCUAUCGCGCUGCGGUUCCUUCCCUUUCCGCCGCCCUGUUGCCCUCCGCCCCCGCCGUCGGUCGCCGUCCUUGGCCGCUGCCCCCUACCGGGCUCCCCACGUCUCGACCCCCGCCGUCGCCGCCCCUCCGACCCCCGUCGUCCGCUCUGCCCCUCCGACCGGCGGCGUGCGGGUGACGGAUCUGGUCCGCUCCGCCCUCCGGCGACGUCGUCCUCCGAUCUAAGCUGGCGACGUUGAGGCGAAGCAAUGGGUGGUGGAUCCGGUCCAGCGGCGUCGAGGUGGAUCGCGGGUGGCGUCGUCGAGGCGAUGCAGCGGCUGGCAGAUCCGGGCGGCGGCAUGGAGCGGGCGGCGGAUCCAAACGCUGGUGUUGAAGAGGCGGCGUCGGCGAUGGCGGUGCUGUCGAGGCGUCAGCGCGAACGGCGGCGGGAGCAAGACGAACGGAGGCGACAUCCAGGCAGAGGCGCGGGUGGCGAGAACGCCGGUGCCGUGCACCGGCUGUCCGGGAAGACCGCAACCACCCUCCUGCAGGUGCGCUCCCCACGUUUUUCGUUUUCGUUCCUCAUGCGCGGAAGCGGUGGAGGGAUUGGGGAGAAGCCUCGGCGUCGUUGGAGGGGGGGUCAGGCCGACGGGGUCGACCGGCCGCGGCCGGGGCCGGAGGCCGCCAGCACAGGGCAGGGCAGGUGCGGCUCCUGUGCCGUGCCGAAGUCGAGAUUUCCCUGCCGCCAUGGCCGACCUACAGCCCCACGCCCUCUUCUUCUCAGCUCCGGCCUGUCCCGCAGGUCAUCUUGCUUCUUUUGUGGUGAGAUCCUGUUCCCCAUUCCUUUAUUGUUUCUGAGAUUCCAGAGCUGGAGCUCACCUGCUGGUACUGGGGCACCUCAUCACGAAUGAAUCGUAGGAGCCUGAUACUCCUUGCAUCUUGCAAUCUUUGUUCUGUGUUCGGCUCGAAAUUCAACUCUGAUUGAAUGCAUGUUCCAGUCAGAGAGGUAACAUUUCAGUUGUUAAUUGCUAACUGUGCUUCCUUUAGGUUGAACUACUGGUGCUACGCCAGCCAAUCAAUAAUCUCCUAAGUGAUUCCUACCCGUUUCCACACCUGGGCAUUCUUCAAUUUAACAAUUAUGCCUCGGUUUGUCUUUCUAAGCCUUAAACUUGCAUUACUCAAAAUGUUUGAGUAGUAGUCUGAUGCAGUUCAGCGGUGGCGGUGAGCUAAACCCCAAACUAAUUAGUAGCUUCCUAAUCUAUUUGUCUCCAUGCCCCCAAACUGUUAUGAAAUGCAUUGUCAGCAAACAAAAUCAUUUUUUUUAUUCAUUGGCAAUCUGGUUCACACUUAAUACAUCUUAUCUAUACUAGCUUCACUUCACCAGAUUAGUAGUGGUUGGUUAUUUGUCGAUGUUUACUUUCAAGGUUUGUGCAGACAAGUUUUAAUGUUUGCACUUAAUCACCCUACAUAAUUUCUUUUUUGGCGAGAAGAACCCUACCUGAUUUUGUUACUAUGAUGACAGUCUCACUAGAUGAAUGUUAUCUCAACUGAACUCUUAACUGUGUUGCAGAUUUAAAUUUAAAUUGCCAUGCUUCUUUAUCUCCAAAAUAUCUUUUUAUUGCUUCCCUCCAUUUCACAAAGUACAGGUUGAUACAACUUGAUACUUUUAGAAUAGUAGUCAGCUGUACUUUAUUGGUGAUGAUGAGCCAAACUAAUUUCAAUGAACAAGCUAUCAAGAUGUAGUUUCCUAAUCUAUUUUUCUCCAUGCCUCCGCACCAAACAAUAAUUAACAUUGCCUUUUGUCCCCCGUUUCCUAAGUGAGAGAUAACUUUUAAUACUUUAAGGGUGUAGAAUUAUUAGACAGAAUAGUAACCUUGACAGCAGGUUUUGUAAUUGAAUCUGUUUCUUUCAACUGAACUUUUCAUUAACUUGCGCUGUGUUGGUUCUUCCAUUUGGUGACCAAGGGUGGCUUCGUUCAAAUAGCUAGCUGCAUCUUCGGAGGGAUUGUUUGCAAGAUUCUGCUAGCAGCUUGGUUAGUAACUCCGAUUUCUUCCCCCUUGUGCUGGCAUAACUGAUGACCCGUCAAGGUUAAGGCUAAAACAAGUUGUAAUGGGUGUGCUUUAAGUGGCAUGUGUUCAUAUUGUCAGGUUAGUUGAAGCCCAACGAUGAACAAUGGGAAAAGGUGAAUAUUUAUCUACAUUGAAGCAUUCACAUGGAUGAGGGCCCAUGAUUGUCCUGAGGUUGCUUUUAAAGCACUACCGAGCUGCCUUACAUGGAAAGAGAAAACAUUUCUCCAGCCUUUUUCCUACUGUUACUUCAUCUUGCAAAUUUCUCAUCUCUAACUUGAAAAAACAAGUAGUAGGAGGGGUUUAAUCAUGAGUCCUUCGAUAUUUUCAAUAUUGCAGAGGCUUAUCAUGGAGAGUUGUGACAUCAGAGGCCUCCUUAAAACUAUUACGAAUUAUUCAUAGUAAUAAUGCAUAUGGUGAUUAUAAUUUGUUAGUCAUCUUUA